AGGAGGAACAGCCCCAGUGGUGGGGCCAGCUCUGGAAACCUGGAUUCAGCUCCGGCAGGAACUCCGUCUGCAGGGCCUGGAGGCUCUGGGGCGGG
rnacentral:pre_miRNA from 1 species